GGGGGACCGUCAUGUCAGCACUGUAAUGCAGUGAUUUUUUUGUGUCUUUCAGGUGACUUCAUGGUCAUGACGAUUUUCUUCAAUGUGAGCAGGCGGUUUGGCUAUGUUGCCUUUCAAAACUAUGUCCCUUCUUCCGUGACCACGAUGCUCUCCUGGGUUUCCUUUUGGAUCAAGACAGAGUCUGCUCCAGCCCGGACCUCUCUAGCCUCGUAUCGAUAGCCGUGCCCAUGCCCGUAC
rnacentral:sRNA from 1 species